rnacentral:rRNA from 1 species
UACGAAGGGGGCUAGCGUUGCUCGGAAUUACUGGGCGUAAAGCGCACGUAGGCGGCUUUCUAAGUCGGGGGUGAAAUCCUGGAGCUCAACUCCAGAACUGCCUUCGAUACUGGAGAGCUCGAGUCCGGGAGAGGUGAGUGGGAACUGCGAGUGUAGAGGUGAAAUUCGUAGAAUUAUUCGCAAGAACACCAGUGGCGAAAGGCAGGCCUCAGC